CCUACGGGAGGCUGCAGUGGGGAAUAUUGCACAAUGGGCGCAAGCCUGAUGCAGCCAUGCCGCGUGUGUGAAGAAGGCCUUCGGGUUGUAAAGCACUUUCAGCGGGGAGGAAGGCGUUAAGGUUAAUAACCUUGUCGAUUGACGUUACCCGCAGAAGAAGCACCGGCUAACUCCGUGCCAGCAGCCGCGGUAAUACGGAGGGUGCAAGCGUUAAUCGGAAUUACUGGGCGUAAAGCGCACGCAGGCGGUCUGUCAAGUCGGAUGUGAAAUCCCCGGGCUCAACCUGGGAACUGCAUUCGAAACUGGCAGGCUAGAGUCUUGUAGAGGGGGGUAGAAUUCCAGGUGUAGCGGUGAAAUGCGUAGAGAUCUGGAGGAAUACCGGUGGCGAAGGCGGCCCCCUGGACAAAGACUGACGCUCAGGUGCGAAAGCGUGGGGAGCAAACAGGAUGAGAUACCCCAGUAGUC
rnacentral:rRNA from 1 species